rnacentral:rRNA from 1 species
UGGAUCCAGACUUUGAUCCUGGCUCAGGACGAACGCUGGCGGCGCGCCUAACACAUGCAAGUCGAACGAGCGAGAGAGAGCUUGCUUUCUCGAGCGAGUGGCGAACGGGUGAGUAACGCGUGAGGAACCUGCCUCAAAGAGGGGGGCAACAGUCGGAAACGACUGCUAAUACCGCAUAAGCCCACGACCCGGCAUCGGGUAGGGGGAAAGGGAGCAAUCCGCUUUGAGAUGGCCUCGCGUCCGAUUAGCUAGUUGGUGAGGUAAUGGCCCACCAAGGCGACGAUCGGUAGCCGGACUGAGAGGUUGAACGGCCACAUUGGGACUGAGACACGGCCCAGACUCCUACGGGAGGCAGCAGUGGGGAAUAUUGCACAAUGGGGGAAACCCUGAUGCAGCGACGCCGCGUGGAGGAAGAAGGUCUUCGGAUUGUAAACUCCUGUUGUUGAGGAAGAUAAUGACGGUACUCAACAAGGAAGUGACGGCUAACUACGUGCCAGCAGCCGCGGUAAAACGUAGGUCACAAGCGUUGUCCGGAAUUACUGGGUGUAAAGGGAGCGCAGGCGGGAAGACAAGUUGGAAGUGAAAUCCAUGGGCUCAACCCAUGAACUGCUUUCAAAACUGUUUUUCUUGAGUAGUGCAGAGGUAGGCGGAAUUCCCGGUGUGGCGGUGGAAUGCGUAGAUAUCGGGAGGAACACCAGUGGCGAAGGCGGCCUACUGGGCACCAACUGACGCUGAGGCUCGAAAAGUGUGGGUAG